UUUUUUUUUUUUUUUGCUUCUGUCAAGAAGAUCAAUUGCAGCUUAACGUCAAUUCUUCUCCUCUGGUCAUCAUAUAGAAAAUGCUUCAUUGACACGGCUUGCAUGGCAAGGUGUGGAACAUUGUUGUUUUCUUGAAAAAAUCAGAUUCAGCAGAAACUAAUUGUGUAACAUAUUCCUAUUGAAAAUUAGGCUGUUGGCCAUAAAUUUUAUUUGCAAUAUUAAAUUUCCUUGGAUUUUUACUGCCUACAUAGUUCAAAUUUAUCUCCUUUUAAUAUUUGAAUUGUGUUUGCAAAAGAUGGUUGGUGGGAAGGGGAGGGCGGUCUUUGCUUCUCGUUGAUGAAGAGUUUGACAGUUACGAUAGUUUUUCAAAGUAUCAAAGCUAACAGCAGGUUGAGGAGCUUACCUGCAUUGCUCUUGAAGUUAUUAACUUAGUUGUUGAUUCGCACACUUGAGGUACUAAAUGCAAAGUUUGUUUUUGUUUGCAUGUUUUUCAAGUUCCUAAAUAUUUUCUCGACAGUUUUCUUCUUUGAAUGGAAGAGGUUAUUUGGAUCUGUAAUACUGAAAAGUAUGGCUAACCAGACACUAUUAAGCU